rnacentral:rRNA from 1 species
UACGUAGGGACCGAGCGUUGUCCGGAUUCAUUGGGCGUAAAGAGCUCGUAGGCGGCUGCUCAAGUCGAAUGUGAAAACUCGAGGCUCAACCUCGAGCCUGCAUUCGAUACUGGGCGGCUAGAGUCUGGUAGGGGGAUCUGGAAUUCCUGGUGUAGCGGUGGAAUGCGCAGAUAUCAGGAGGAACACCGGUGGCGAAGGCGGGAUCCUGGGCCAGUACUGACGCUGAGGAGCGAAAGCGUGGGGAGCGAACAGGA